rnacentral:rRNA from 1 species
GACAGAGGUGCCGAGCGUUAGGCGGAAUCACUGGGCUUAAAGCGUGUGUAGGUGGAUGUCUAAGUACCUUGUGAAAUCCCACGGCUUAACCGUGGAACGGCUCGGUAUACUGGAUGCCUUGAGCCAGCUAGGGGCUACCGGAACAAAUGGUGGAGCGGUGAAAUGCGUAGAUAUCAUUUGGAACGCCAAUGGUGAAAACAGGUAGCUGGGGCUGUGCUGACACUGAGACACGAAAGCCAGGGGAGCGAACGGG